rnacentral:rRNA from 1 species
ACAGAGGUGGCGAACGUUGUUCGGAUUUACUGGGCGUAAAGGGUCCGCAGGCGGCUCGGUGUGUCAGAUGUGAAAGCCCACGGCUUAACCGUGGAAUUGCAUUUGAAACUGCCGGGCUAGAGUACUGGAGGGGAGAAGGGAACACUUGGUGUAGCGGUGAAAUGCGUAGAUAUCAAGUGGAACACCGGAGGCGAAGGCGCUUCUCUGGACAGAUACUGACGCUCAUGGACGAAAGUUAGGGUAGCGAAAGGG